GAUGAACGCUGGCGGCGUGCCUAAUACAUGCAAGUCGAGCGAACGGACGAGAAGCUUGCUUCUCUGAUGUUAGCGGCGGACGGGUGAGUAACACGUGGAUAACCUACCUAUAAGACUGGGAUAACUUCGGGAAACCGGAGCUAAUACCGGAUAAUAUUUUGAACCGCAUGGUUCAAAAGUGAAAGACGGUCUUGCUGUCACUUAUAGAUGGAUCCGCGCUGCAUUAGCUAGUUGGUAAGGUAACGGCUUACCAAGGCAACGAUGCAUAGCCGACCUGAGAGGGUGGUCGGCCACACUGGAACUGAGACACGGUCCAGACUCCUACGGGAGGCAGCAGUAGGGAAUCUUCCGCAAUGGGCGAAAGCCUGACGGAGCAACGCCGCGUGAGUGAUGAAGGUCUUCGGAUCGUAAAACUCUGUUAGUAGGGAAGAACAUAUGUGUAAGUAACUGUGCACAUCUUGACGGUACCUAAUCAGAAAGCCACGGCUAACUACGUG
rnacentral:rRNA from 1 species